rnacentral:rRNA from 1 species
AACGGCCGUACCAUGCUGAAUAUACCGGUUCUCGUUAGAUCACCGAAGUCAAGCAUCACUGGGCGCGGUCAGUACUUGGGUGGGUGACCACCUGGGAACACCGCGUGCUGUU